GACGAACGCUGGCGGCGUGCCUAAUACAUGCAAGUAGAACGCACAGUUUAUACCGUAGCUUGCUACACCAUAAACUGUGAGUUGCGAACGGGUGAGUAACGCGUAGGUAACCUGCCUGGUAGCGGGGGAUAACUAUUGGAAACGAUAGCUAAUACCGCUUAAUAUUGAUUAUUGCAUGAUAAUUGAUUGAAAGAUGCUAUUGCAUCACUACCAGAUGGACCUGCGUUGUAUUAGCUAGUAGGUGAGGUAACGGCUCACCUAGGCGACGAUACAUAGCCGACCUGAGAGGGUGAUCGGCCACACUGGGACUGAGACACGGCCCAGACUCCUACGGGAGGCAGCAGUAGGGAAUCUUCGGCAAUGGACGAAAGUCUGACCGAGCAACGCCGCGUGAGUGAAGAAGGUGUUCGGAUCGUAAAGCUCUGUUGUAAGAGAAGAACGGGUGUGAGAGUGGAAAGUUCACACUGUGACGGUAUCUUACCAGAAAGGGACGGCUAACUACGU
rnacentral:rRNA from 1 species